rnacentral:lncRNA from 1 species
UACCCUAGGGUUUCUGCCUAGGGUUUGAAAAGUGAGAAGGUGAGCUAUGAGUGUCGUGAGCUCACCAAACUUCAGGAAGAGCUUCAUCAACCUCUCUAUUAUCUUUGCUGAUGAUCCAGAGUAUCCAAGAAAUCGACAGACACUGAUCAAAGGAGUUCGAUCAGCAUCAGCCGUCGAAAGGGUUCUGCAACGAACUAGCAUUCAUGAGGAGCCGA